GUACAUGAGAUUAGGGUAACGUGUAUUUACAAUGUAAACAUGGGAUUAUGACUGGUGCCGGUAUAAUGUGAAAAAGCUGAAUGACAUCGUAAUACAUUAUUCACAACUUGGAUAAUGUUUUGCAUAUGAACGUACAACGCUGGAGAACUGUUACCCAACCAGCGAGUAACCUCCAAUAAAGUCAGUUCCUUCCGGCAAGUCGCACGCCGCAGGUUUGUGUGAUUUCCUGUGUACUAUAUACACUAAAUGAUUAAUGACAACACACAGAUCAGUGACACCAACGACACAAACGAUAAACAUCAGAUUUACAGACGAUAUUCGGGAAUGAAUUUAAAUAUCUAAAUGAGGGAGAUCCUGUAAUGUAUCCGUCCGUAUCUAAGGCGUCCAUGUCUUGUGAUGGCUAUGUAUGGAUGUAAAGUAAAGGAGCGUGAAGCCUGGCGAUGUUACAGUUUUGGAUGCUAUUUAUAACACUCCACCAGGUAACGGGACAUCUUCACACACCUGACACGUGCGACACAAACAACACCCUCUACGUCAAUGGAUGUACUAUGCCGCUCGACCUUGACAUCUGGUACACGGACCAUUUCGAGAUAGCCUGCAACAUUCACGACAUAUGCUAUUUUUGUGGACAUGGAUAUAACAAGUCCCGUCAUGACUGUGAUUCUAAAUUCUUAGAGGAUAUGAACUCGGUGUGUUUGGAGCGGAUGGCGUAUUGGGAACUUCCCCUGUGUGUCCUGUUCUCCACCUCCUUCUACCUCAUUGUCAGGGCGAUAUCAGAGAGCUACUUUAUGUACGAACCCCCGGGCCAUUGUUCGGUACAUUGGGUGAAACACUGCAUCACACCUUAGUUAACAUGAACACUGACAAAAUGUGAGAAUUAGAAAUGAAGUUUAAUGUAAUUAUGUUAAAUUAAAGUCCGUUUGACAAAAUACUUGUAUGCAAUAAUAUAUUUCAAUAUUUUGUUCAGUGGACUUAUGCACACCAGAUGCAGGUGACUUAAGCAGGGAUAUGUUUGUAGGUACAGUAAAACACGAUUAUAACAAACAUGUUUAUAAUGAAUUCUCGCUAAUUACGAAGUUAUAUUCCUUCCCUAAUGAGAGGAAAAUAACAAAACUUUUAUUGAAUAUAACGAAGUUUGGUUAAUGGGAAUCCACUCCCUAACUCACUCUGUAUAAGUAAAUCGCUGCGCUGUUUGCUGUUCUUUCCAUCCAUAGCGCAUUUGAACAACAUUUUUUCAUUCAAAUGAAUAUAUUUAUAUUCACCGUGUGUAUUCUGCUUCAAAUUCGUUGUUUGUGUUUUGUCACAAUUUGUUUCAGUCUAGUUAGAUCUGGUGUUUAGUGCCAUCUCUCCACUCAGGAAUACAUGUAUGCACAUUCCAAGAACUUCCCGACCAAUUUCGUGAUAAUGCUGAAAUUGUUGGAAAAUGUUUACAGGUGUAUUUUUUACAUUUUCUUUGAAUUCAGAAUAAUAAAUGACGCUUAAAUAUA